UACGGGAGGCAGCAGUGGGGAAUAUUGCACAAUGGGCGAAAGCCUGAUGCAGCUAUGCCGCGUGUAUGAAGAAGGCCUUAGGGUUGUAAAGUACUUUCAUCGGGGAGGAAAAACAAAACUAAUAAUUUUAUUUCUUGACGUUACCCGAAAAAGAAGCACCGGCUAACUCCGUGCCAGCAGCCGCGGUAAUACGGAGGGUGCUAGCGUUAAUCAGAAUUACUGGGCGUAAAGAGCACGUAGGUGGUUUUUUUAAGUUCAGAUGUGAAAUCCCUGGGCUUAACCUGGAACUGCAUUUUGAAACUGAAAUACUAGAGUAUCGUAGAGGGAGGUAGAAUUCUAGGUGUAGCGGUGAAAUGCGUAGAUAUCUGGAGGAAUACCUGUGGCGAAAGCGGCCUCCUAAACGAAAUACUGACACUGAGGUGCGAAAGCGUGGGGAGCAAACAGGGAAUUAGAUACC
rnacentral:rRNA from 1 species